GUGAAGAGCAUGUGAGAGUUGCACUGCUGCUCUUCGGAGUUUUUAGCUUUGCUGGUGCUCCGUGCCGCUAAAGCCGUGUCCAGAUAGAAGGCGGCUCGCUCUGCGCUAGACGCUCUCAGUUCACUCUGAUUCUGGAGCUGGGGAAAAAAGAUAAGAUCUACAAAGCCAGUCCUGUACCUGUGAACCGGAGACAGGGUCCUCUUUCAGGUAGACUCCUGCACCCUGGACGUCUUGGAGCGUCCCCGUAGAGACGUCAGCUAGAAGAUCCGUCAACACCUCGUCCCUUCCGCUGAUCUCCACGGCCGAGAUGAGCACGGAGAACCGAGCACCAGCUUUCUCCUUCCUCUCCUCGAUCAGCUUGAAGAGCCAGGAGAUGGCACACGGGGCAACGCCCAGGCUCUGAGUGGAAGCGUCGUUACCGAUCAUGGUGUAGGUUUUACCUGUGAGGAACAGCUAACUGAAGUCUUUUACACUGACGCUGACACCGGAGACUCCUUCCGUAAACAUUACCCACAGGAACGGAUUUUCUAAUCGAUCUGAUUAUGUGGAGUCCCCGUGAAGGAGCUGUUACUAUAGAAACGAAAACAAUAAAUGAAUCUAAGCAUGGGAUUUAUGAAUCAACACCUUCUGACCAAUCAGAAUCCAGAAUUCAGCAUCAGUGUACAACACAUUACAGAUUAUUAUACUGUAUGGGUUUGGAAUUAUUUUCCCAGAAGUGUGAUCAUCAUGUGGAAGUUUUCCAAGGAAGGAAAUUUACAUUAUUACUAUAAUUACAAAAAGAGUGCUGACCGAGGUGGGCGUGUCCAAAACAGAAGAUGCAGCCAUCUGCGCCGUUGACGACAGACUGAAUGACCUCCGCCACCGUCCCGGAACACACCUCCGCCUGUGAAUAUUCAACAAAUAUCUAAAUGAGUGUAUGGCAUUAUUAUCCGGUGUCAUUAUCUGGAGCAUCUACUUUCCCCUGAAAAGAGACGGCAAAAGACGCAGCGCCAAAGGAACCGUUCAUUUGAAGCAUUACACAGAGGACGGACGGACGGACGGACGGAUGAACAAAUGAAUGGAUAUUAAAUAAAAGCCAUUUCAUGUGUUGCAUCACAUGUUGCUAAGGCGCUGGGCUUUUGCUAAUGAUCUCACUGGACCUCAUACAGCACGGUGUCAUUCUCACCUUGACCUUCAGGCUAACAUAACAAGACAAGAAAUAUGAAGGUUCACAUCGGAGUCAGUUUGAGAAAAGCGUUGUACUGCCUCUGAUGUUGCCUUCAUCAAAGCUUCGUCUCUUCUGAACAACAUGGAACUGGGGUCAGGACUGAUGAGACUGAGACGGGAAGUCAUUGUAAUAUUGCCCUUGAGGUAGUGUUCAUAAGGCUGCAUGACACAUGCAUAAGCCCUAUUUGACAUAAAGCUGAGGAUUAUUCCAAUAGCGACAAGCUUGUAAUAAAGACUCCUGGGUUACUAACCAAGGCUUGUUGACAUUAGGUCAUUAGCUAUUUAGCAUUACGAAGCAUUUCAGAGAUAAUAAAAUGAACGGCAUCAUGGGACUGGCAUUCAUUCAUUCAUUAAAGUCUUCUAAUGGCUGACAAAAAUGUGCAUAACUUUGUGCACUGACAUAUGGAUGCAAAAAGCCUUAUAAGUAAAAAAUUUUAAAUUGACUUUACACACGAGUGGUGUUCAUAAGACUAUAUGACACCUGCAUAUGUUUUUGUGACAAGUGACUUAAAUGUACAUAAACAUUUUAAAGGCUUAU